rnacentral:tRNA from 1 species
UGGAGAGGUGGCAGAGUGGUCGAAUGCGCUCGGCUUGAAACCGAGUGAACCGAAAGGUUCCGUGGGUUCAAAUCCCACCCUCUCCGU